rnacentral:rRNA from 1 species
GACGAACGCUGGCGGCGUGCCUAAUACAUGCAAGUCGAACGCAGUGGGGACGGGUGCGUACCACGUGGGUAACCUCCCAUCAGAGGGCGUAACCCUUGGAUACAGGUGCUAAACCGCUACUGAUGGAUGAACCCGCUGUGCAUUAGCUAGUUGGUGGGGUAACGGCUCACCAAGUCCACGAUGCAUAGCCGACCUGAGAGGUGGAUCAGCCACACUGGGACCGAGACACGGCCCAGACUCCUACGGGAGGCAGCAGUAGGGAAUCUUCGGCAAUGGGCGAAAGUCUGACCCAGCAACGCCGCGUGAGUGAAGAAGGUUUUCGGAUCGUAAAACUCUGUUGUUAGAGAAGCGGUAUCUAAACAGAAAGCCACGGCUAACUCCGUGCCAGCAGCCGCGGUAAUUC